rnacentral:tRNA from 1 species
GCAGACAUAGUUUCAACAAAAACAUUAGAUUGUGAUUCUAAAGAUAGAAGUUUAAACCUUCUUAUUUGCC